ACAACAUCGCAACUAGUAAAGAUGAAGCUGGAAUUAGUUUUAUUGGCAGUUGUUCUGUUUUUAGUUUUUGCCAUAACUGUUAGAGGAGAGGAUAAUAUCCCGGAUUACUAUGCGGAUUACAAUGACAAGGAUCUGAUAGAAGAGGGAAACGCUACAUUUAAAUAAAUACAAAACGCAGAGUGUUAAAAUACAAAAGACAGACCGGUUUUAUUGUUAAAAAUUAAUAAAUAUGAAUGUUAUUGUAUUUAUAUUCAAGACACUUUACAUUUAAGUAAUACGCAAAAUAUACGCAUUUAUUUACAGAUA